rnacentral:rRNA from 1 species
GAUGAACGCUGGCGGCGUGCCUAAUACAUGCAAGUCGAGCGAAUGGAUUAAGAGCUUGCUCUUAUGAAGUUAGCGGCGGACGGGUGAGUAACACGUGGGUAACCUGCCCAUAAGACUGGGAUAACUCCGGGAAACCGGGGCUAAUACCGGAUAACAUUUUGAACCGCAUGGUUCGAAAUUGAAAGGCGGCUUCGGCUGUCACUUAUGGAUGGACCCGCGUCGCAUUAGCUAGUUGGUGAGGUAACGGCUCACCAAGGCAACGAUGCGUAGCCGACCUGUGAGGGGGAUGGGCCACUCUGGGACUGAGACACGGCCCAGACUCCUACGGGGGGCAGCAGUAGGGAAUGUUCCGCAAUGGACGAAAGUCUGACGGAGCAACGCCGCGUGAGUGAUGAAGGCUUUCGGGUCGUAAAACUCUGUUGUUAGGGAAGAACAAGUGCUAGUUGAAUAAGCUGGCACCUUGACGGUACCUAACCAGAAAGCCACGGCUAACUACGUGCCAGCCGCCGCCGUAA